AACGAACGCUGGCGGCAGGCUUAACACAUGCAAGUCGAGCGAGACCUUCGGGUCUAGCGGCGGACGGGUGAGUAACGCGUGGGAACGUGCCCUUCUCUACGGAAUAGCCCCGGGAAACUGGGAGUAAUACCGUAUACGCCCUUUGGGGGAAAGAUUUAUCGGAGAAGGAUCGGCCCGCGUUGGAUUAGGUAGUUGGUGGGGUAAUGGCCCACCAAGCCGACGAUCCAUAGCUGGUUUGAGAGGAUGAUCAGCCACACUGGGACUGAGACACGGCCCAGACUCCUACGGGAGGCAGCAGUGGGGAAUCUUAGACAAUGGGGGCAA
rnacentral:rRNA from 1 species